GAUGAACGCUGGCGGCGUGCCUAAUACAUGCAAGUCGAGCGAAUGGAUUAAGAGCUUGCUCUUAUGAAGUUAGCGGCGGACGGGUGAGUAACACGUGGGUAACCUGCCCAUAAGACUGGGAUAACUCCGGGAAACCGGGGCUAAUACCGGAUAACAUUUUGAACCGCAUGGUUCGAAAUUGAAAGGCGGCUUCGGCUGUCACUUACGGAUGGACCCGCGUCGCAUUAGCUAGUUGGUGAGGUAAAGGCUCACCAAGGCAACGAUGCGUAGCCGACCUGAGAGGGUGAUCGGCCACACUGGGACUGAGACCCGGCCCAGACUCCUACGGGAGGCAGCAGUAGGGAAUCUUCCGCAAUGGACGAAAGUCUGACGGAGCAACGCCGCGUGAGUGAUGAAGGCUUUCGGGUCGUAAAACUCUGUUGUUAGGGAAGAACAAGUGCUAGUUGAAUAAGCUGGCACCUUGACGGUACCUAACCAGAAAGCCACGGCUAACUACGUGCCAGCCGCCGCCGUAA
rnacentral:rRNA from 1 species